rnacentral:rRNA from 1 species
AGCCUUUCGGGGUGGAUUAGUGGCGAACGGGUGAGUAACACGUGGGCAAUCUGCCCUGCACUCUGGGACAAGCCCUGGAAACGGGGUCUAAUACCGGAUAAUACCUUCCUUCUCAUGGGGGUGGGUUAAAAGCUCCGGCGGUGCAGGAUGAGCCCGCGGCCUAUCAGCUUGUUGGUGGGGUGAUGGCCUACCAAGGCGACGACGGGUAGCCGGCCUGAGAGGGCGACCGGCCACACUGGGACUGAGACACGGCCCAGACUCCUACGGGAGGCAGCAGUGGGGAAUAUUGCACAAUGGGCGAAAGCCUGAUGCAGCGACGCCGCGUGAGGGAUGACGGCCUUCGGGUUGUAAACCUCUUUCAGCAGGGAAGAAGCGAAAGUGACGGUACCUGCAGAAGAAGCGCCGGCUAACUACGUGCCAGCAGCCGCGGUAAUACGUAGGGCGCAAGCGUUGUCCGGAAUUAUUGGGCGUAAAGAGCUCGUAGGCGGUUUGUCACGUCGGAUGUGAAAGCCCGGGGCUUAACCCCGGGUCUGCAUUCGAUACGGGCAGACUAGAGUGUGGUAGGGGAGAUCGGAAUUCCUGGUGUAGCGGUGAAAUGCGCAGAUAUCAGGAGGAACACCGGUGGCGAAGGCGGAUCUCUGGGCCAUUACUGACGCUGAGGAGCGAAAGCGUGGGGAGCGAACAGGAUUAGAUACCCUGGUAGUCCACGCCGUAAACGUUG